rnacentral:rRNA from 1 species
GUGAGGAAUAUUGGUCAAUGGGCGAGAGCCUGAACCAGCCAAAUCGCGUGAAGGAUGAAGGUAUUAUGUAUUGUAAACUUCUUUUAUCGGGGAAUAAAGUGCACCACGUGUGGUGUUUUGUAUGUACCCGAAGAAUAAGGAUCGGCUAACUCCGUGCCAGCAGCCGCGGUAAUACGGAGGAUCCAAGCGUUAUCCGGAUUUAUUGGGUUUAAAGGGUGCGUAGGCGGACUGUCAAGUCAGCGGUGAAAGUCCAUGGCUCAACCAUGGAAUUGCCGUUGAAACUGUCGGUCUUGAGUGUAGAUGAGGUAGGCGGAAUUCGUAGUGUAGCGGUGAAAUGCUUAGAUAUUACGAAGAACUCCAAUUGCGUAGGCAGCUUACCAGGCUACAACUGACGCUGAGGCACGAAGGUGCGGGGAUCAAACAGGAUUAGAUACCCUUGUAGUCC